rnacentral:rRNA from 1 species
UACGUAGGGGCCUAGCGUUGUCCGGAAUUAUUGGGCGUAAAGAGCUCGUAGGCGGUUCGGCAAGUCGGAUGUGAAAUCUCCACGCUUAACGUGGAGGGGCCAUUCGAAACUGCCGUGACUCGAGUCCGGUAGGGGAGUGUGGAAUUCCCGGUGUAGCGGUGAAAUGCGCAGAUAUCGGGAGGAACACCGGUGGCGAAGGCGGUUCUCUGGGAAUGUUCUGACGCUGAGGAGCGAAAGUGUGGGGAGCGAACAGG